rnacentral:rRNA from 1 species
UACGUAGGGGGCGAGCGUUGUCCGGAAUCAUUGGGCGUAAAGAGCUCGUAGGCGGUUUGUCGCGUCUGCUGUGAAAACUCGGGGCUUAACUCCGGGCCUGCAGUGGGUACGGGCAGACUAGAGUGCGGUAGGGGAGACUGGAAUUCCUGGUGUAGCGGUGAAAUGCGCAGAUAUCAGGAGGAACACCGGUGGCGAAGGCGGGUCUCUGGGCCGUAACUGACGCUGAGGAGCGAAAGCGUGGGGAGCGAACAGG